rnacentral:rRNA from 1 species
GACGAACGCUGGCGGCGUGCUUAACACAUGCAAGUCGAACGGAAAGGCCCUGCUUUUGUGGGGUGCUCGAGUGGCGAACGGGUGAGUAACACGUGAGUAACCUGCCCUUGACUUUGGGAUAACUUCAGGAAACUGGGGCUAAUACCGGAUAGGAGCUCCUGCUGCAUGGUGGGGGUUGGAAAGUUUCGGCGGUUGGGGAUGGACUCGCGGCUUAUCAGCUUGUUGGUGGGGUAGUGGCUUACCAAGGCUUUGACGGGUAGCCGGCCUGAGAGGGUGACCGGCCACAUUGGGACUGAGAUACGGCCCAGAGUCCAACGGGAGGCAGCAGUGGGAAAUAUUGCACAAUGGGCGGAAGCCUGAUGCAGCAACGCCGCGUGCGGGAUGACGGCCUUCGGGUUGUAAACCGCGUUCGCCUGUGACGAAGCGUGAGUGACGGUAAUGGGUAAAGAAGCACCGGCUAACUACGUG